UUUAUUGUUUCAUUUAUAAUCUUAUAAAGAUCAUAUUUUAAAUUCUUGAAUGAUUUAUAUGAUUAUAUUUUUUACUUAUCCGUAUUGUCAAAAAUUAUAAUAAAAUUUUAAAAAGUUAUAUUUAAUUAUGAUAAUAUAUUCCAGAGCCAGUUACUGAUAUUAUUGAUGAUAAAAUAAAGCAACAUUGCUGAAAUACUCUAAUAUUCUUGUCUCUGAUUAUUAUAGCUUACCCAAUUUUUGGAAGCAGGUUGUGUCAACAGUAGUAGCAACAAUAAAGUAAGAAAAAGAGGACAAUGACACUUUUGGAAAAGGAAGCCAAGGAAAGAGAAGAUUCUGCUAUGACUCAGAGAAUCAGAACCGUGAAGAAAAACAUUUCCUGUUCAACUGUGUGACUGUAUCAUCUACUCAUCCCAUUCCCCAACACCAGUUCCUUCUAGUGUUGCUUCGCCUUCUUCUUUUUUUUUUUUUUUUUUUUUUUGAGACAGAGUUUCACUCUUGUUACCCAGGCUGGAGUGCAAUGGCGCGAUCUCGGCUCACCGCAACCUCCGCCUCCUGGGUUCAGGCAAUUUUCCUGCCUCAGCCUCCUGAGUAGCUGGGAUUACAGGCACACGCCACCAUGACCAGCUAAUUUUUUUGUAUUUUUAGUAGAGAAUGGGUUUCACCAUGUUGACCAGGAUGGUCUCUAUCUGUUGACUUCGUGAUCCACCCGCCUCGGCCUCCCAAAGUGCUGGGAUUACAGGCAUGAACCACCGCGCCCGGCCGCUUUCGCCUUCUUAGGAAAGGAAAGAUCUUGCUGUCUGACCUUUAAGACACUUGUAAAUCUCUGGUCAGAGAUCCUGUUCCUACCUAUUGCAAGAGUUCCCUGAACAGUCUUUUCUUACUAAGGACAAAACUCUCAUGUUUUCUUUCUUUAUAUAUUUUGUUUUGUUUUUCAUAUUGACAUUGUGGUGGUGCUUGCUCACUUAAACUGAAGUUUAAAGAGGAACUAGAGCUGUGAGAAUGCUAGAGAUGUAAAU
rnacentral:lncRNA from 13 species